rnacentral:rRNA from 1 species
UACGAAAGGUGCAAGCGUUACUCGGAAUCACUGGGCGUAAAGGGUGUGUAGGCGGUCCUCCAAGUUUGGUGUGAAAUCUCCCGGCUCAACCGGGAGGGUGCGCCGAAAACUGGGGGGCUAGAGUGCGGGAGGGGAGAGUGGAAUUCCUGGUGUAGCGGUGAAAUGCGUAGAUAUCAGGAGGAACACCGGUGGUGUAGACGGCUCUCUGGACCGUAACUGACGCUGAGACACGAAAGCGUGGGGAGCAAACAGG